CCUACGUGUGGCUGCAGUGAGGAAUAUUGGUCAAUGGCCGGAAGGCUGAACCAGCCAAGCCGCGUGAAGGACGAAGGUGCCAAGCAUUGUAAACUUCUUUUGUCAAGGGCCAAAAUCAGGCUCGAGAGCCUGACCGAGGGUACUUGAAGAAAAAGCAUCGGCUAACUCCGUGCCAGCAGCCGCGGUAAUACGGAGGAUGCGAGCGUUAUCCGGAUUUAGUGGGUUUAAAGGGUGCGUAGGCGGACUGUUAAGUCAGCGGUAAAAGCCCGGGGCUCAACCCCGGGGAGCAGUUGAAACUGGAGGUCUUGAGAGGUCGAGAGGUAUGCGGAAUGCGCAGUGUAGCGGGGAAAUGCGUAGAUA
rnacentral:rRNA from 1 species